GGGAAUGUCGUCUAAAGGUUAGGACUUUUGCCUUUUAAGCAAACUAUACUGGUUCAAGUCCAGUCCUUCUCA
rnacentral:tRNA from 1 species